CAAACACAAACAAACGCAAACAAACAAACACAAACAAACGCAAACAAACAAACACAAACAAACACAGGAAUCACCAAAGUCCAAAGGAGCUCCUGGAGGAGGUUUCUGGCAGACUUUAUGAAAACAUCUGCAUAUCUGUGAAAACCUGUCAGGAAAGAGGAUCCACUGUUCUGGUAUGAUUCUAUAGAACUUCAUGAGAACUUCGACCCGGUGGAUGGUUCUGGACCGGGGCUCGGUCCACCAGCAGUUUUUGUUCUUUCUGACGUCAUAUAAAACCGUCUUUAGAGUCUGAAAUGAGGAGCUGAAGUAUCGGACCAGAACCAGAAAGGUGAAGUCGGUACGGAGAGAAAGGUCUGGAGCCGUGAGUGUUGGAGCAUGUAAACAAGGGUGUGGAGGAACUGAGGACUCUCACUAAUCACUCGUUCCUGGGGGGCAGCGUAAACAGGCUGCGGUAAACAAUGGACCCGGAACCUUUGCCGGGCCGGCCCACAUUCAUCAACCGCACACACAGAUUCCAGAGGAACUGGAAGCUUCUGCAGUCAUCCCUGUGAUCCGUCACCUUCAGGGUCGACCGGACCUCCAACCGAACCUCCAACCGCGUCCAAAACCUCUGUCAGAACCAGGCGCGUCUCUGCAGAGCUGGUCCGGUUCUCCGUCUUACCCGACAGCGGCUCUCUGGGUUUGACCACCUCCACCACCUCCUCCUCCGGCGCCGCCGGCUCCUCGGGGCUCUGGGACGAGCGAUCCGUGGACUCCCGCUUGAUCUUCCCCAGACCCACCAUCUUCAUGAAGGACACGCGGCGGCUGGUGGAGUCGCACUCGCUCUCCGAGCAGUUGGGCUCGCCGUUGGCGAAGGACUCCUUCCGCGAGCCCAGACCGUCGCGGUAUUUCCCAGCGAACCUGGGGAGAGCAGACGGGAGAGACGGAGCGUCUUUGGAGGCGUGUCUGCUCGAUGUGGUGACGGGCUUUCAUUCAGUCUGGUAACCGUGGAGAUGAUUUCAAGGUUUAUCAGAGAUCUAUGACCUCACAUUAUCUGAAACCCAAAUAAAAAAAUGUCAAAACCUU